rnacentral:lncRNA from 1 species
CUGAUCAUAGCUGCAUUGCUAACCACUUCUCUUGUGUGCACACUGAUGCCAGUAUAAUUUGCAUGCUGAACUUAUAUUCAGCAUCCAUUUGUGCUGACCUGAAUGUUAGAACCCUUUGGCUGUCUCAUAACUUUUGAUCAUCAGACAUCCUGGAGUACCUGUUUUGAGAGCUUGGUCCACUUGUGUUGUCAACAUUUCUGUCUCAUAACUUUUGAUCAUCAGACAUCCUGGAGUACCUGUUUUGAGAGCUUGGUCCACUUGUGUUGUUAACAUUUCAGCUGUAAACCACUGCUGCAUAUUCUUAUACUAAAACUACAAGUUUCUGUUGUACAUAAUUAAGUAAUAGGAGUUGUAUAUCACAGUUAAAGUUUGGCACCAUAUUUUCUGUUAGUCAUGUGUUAGCCCAUGCCAAACUUUUACCCAAAAUUGAUUUGACUGUCCUUAGGAGUUUGGGCUUCUGUCUUGUAGGAAAUGUGGAGCUUGUAUUUUUUCUAUUUAAUUUACAUUUAUUUUGAUAUGUAAAAAAUGUAAAUCUACUUUAGCUUGGAGAUUUUUUU